GACUUUUCUUGCAAUUUUGUUGCAUAACGCGGCGUAGCAGCGAUCUUUUUGUGCUGAUACUUAUCAUCGACCCAUCAGGCUCUCACGUGACACAUGGGGCCCGCGUGCAUUCCGUUACGGAGAGAUACCUCCUGCUCCAGUCGAUCAGUUGCCGUGUCCAAAAUAGGAAGUGAUCAGCUGCGCAUUGCGAAAUUCAUCUUUUAUAGCAAACUCACUUGGUGCGUUGUGUGCCAAGAAUGCUAAUUGGACGCGACUCGAAGGCAGCAGCGGAACCUUAAAUGGCAGAGGACGCGGACGGGGAUUCCCAGGAUGGUUCAUCGUCGUCGCCGGCGAUGUCACCUCACCGGCCCCGGUCACCUCUGUGUCUGUUCUAUUUCUCGCACCCAUUCAGGGUGGCUGAUCCGUGCGAACAAGGGCAGGAUCUGCGUGGCCGGAGAAAGGCCGCGCUGGACGCGGUGCUCAAGAAGAGGCAGCAGACACUGACGCGCCGCAAG